GAUGAACGCUGGCGGCGUGCCUAACACAUGCAAGUCGAGCGAUCUUCUUCGGAAGAGAGCGGCGGACGGGUGAGUAACGCGUGGGUAACCUGCCCUGUACACACGGAUAACAUACCGAAAGGUAUGCUAAUACGAGAUAAUAUGCUUUUAUCGCAUGGUAGAAGUAUCAAAGUUUUUGCGGUACAGGAUGGACCCGCGUCUGAUUAGCUAGUUGGUAAGGUAACGGCUUACCAAGGCGACGAUCAGUAGCCGACCUGAGAGGGUGAUCGGCCACAUUGGAACUGAGACACGGUCCAAACGCCUACGGGAGGCAGCAGUGGGGAAUAUUGCACAAUGGGCGAAAGAGUGAUGCAGCAACGCCGCGUGAGCGAUGAAGGCCUUCGGGUCGUAAAGCUCUGUCCUCAAGGAAGAUAAAGACGGUACUUGAGGAGGAAGCCCCGGCUAACUACGUGCCAGCCGCCGCCGUAACAC
rnacentral:rRNA from 1 species